UCGCUGGGGCAUGCUAAAACAUGCAAGUCGAACGGUGAACACGGAGCUUGCUCUGUGGGAUCAGUGGCGAACGGGUGAGUAACACGUGAGCAACCUGCCCCUGACUCUGGGAUAAGCGCUGGAAACGGCGUCUAAUACUGGAUAUGUGACGUGACCGCAUGGUCUGCGUUUGGAAAGAUUUUUCGGUUGGGGAUGGGCUCGCGGCCUAUCAGCUUGUUGGUGAGGUAAUGGCUCACCAAGGCGUCGACGGGUAGCCGGCCUGAGAGGGUGACCGGCCACACUGGGACUGAGACACGGCCCAGACUCCUACGGGAGGCAGCAGUGGGGAAUAUUGCACAAUGGGCGGAAGCCUGAUGCAGCAACGCCGCGUGAGGGAUGACGGCCUUCGGGUUGUAAACCUCUUUUAGCAGGGAAGAAGCGAAAGUGACGGUACCUGCAGAAAAAGCGCCGGCUAACUACGUGCCAGCAGCCGCGGUAAUACGUAGGGCGCAAGCGUUAUCCGGAAUUAUUGGGCGUAAAGAGCUCGUAGGCGGUUUGUCGCGUCUGCUGUGAAAUCCCGAGGCUCAACCUCGGGCCUGCAGUGGGUACGGGCAGACUAGAGUGCGGUAGGGGAGAUUGGAAUUCCUGGUGUAGCGGUGGAAUGCGCAGAUAUCAGGAGGAACACCGAUGGCGAAGGCAGAUCUCUGGGCCGUAACUGACGCUCAGGAGCAAAAGGGUGGGGAGCAAACAGGCUUAGAUACCCUGGUAGUCCACCCCGUAAACGUUGGGAACUAGUUGUGGGGUCCAUUCCACGGAUUCCGUGACGCAGCUAC
rnacentral:rRNA from 1 species